rnacentral:rRNA from 1 species
UAGGGGGCAAGCGUUGUCCGGAAUCAUUGGGCGUAAAGAGCGUGUAGGCGGCCCGAUAAGUCCGCUGUGAAAGUCCAGGGCUCAACCCUGGGAUGCCGGUGGAUACUGUCGGGCUCGAGUCCGGAAGAGGAGUGUGGAAUUCCUGGUGUAGCGGUGAAAUGCGCAGAUAUCGGGAGGAACACCAGUGGCGAAGGCGACUACCUGGCCUGUUUCUUGACGCUGAGGCGCGAAAGCUAGGGGAGCAAACGGG